UACGGAGGGUGCAAACGUUGCUCGGAAUCAUUGGGCGUAAAGCGCACGUAGGCGGCCUGUUAAGUCGGAUGUGAAAGCCCCGGGCUCAACCCGGGAAGUGCAUUCGAAACUGGCGGGCUUGAAUAUGGAAGAGGGUCGCGGAAUUCCCGGUGUAGAGGUGAAAUUCGUAGAUAUCGGGAGGAACACCAGUGGCGAAGGCGGAGCGCCUGGC
rnacentral:rRNA from 1 species